rnacentral:ncRNA from 1 species
GCGCCUCACCCGGGGGGUCCCGUCAAGGGGCUGAGAUACGGCUGGCCGAGAGGCAGCGCCGUGACCCGAUGAACCUGAUCCAGUUCAUGCUGGCGUAGGGACGGUGCGGCUGCCUGAAG